GUUUUCUGUUUAGAAGAGAGAAAGCAGAGUCAUUCCAAAUUUCUCUUUUGCUUCCUUGUCAAAAGGAUCAUCUCCAAGAUACAUGUGGGUAUAGGCCCUGCAUAGGAGUUCACUUUCAACCUUGCUCACAACUUCAUCCAUCACUUUUGUUUGGAGAAUGUAUCCUGGAAGCCGAGAAAUCUCAAUUAUUGAACCACAUGUCAG
rnacentral:misc_RNA from 1 species